GUGCUCGCUUCAGCACUACAUAUACUAAAAUUGGAACAAUACAGAGAAGAUGAGCAUGGCCCCGGCGCAAGGAUGACACGCAAAUUCGUGAAGCGUUCUGUAUUUUU
rnacentral:snRNA from 1 species